GACGAACGCUGGCGGCGUGCUUAACACAUGCAAGUCGAACGGAAAGGCCUCUUUCGGGGGGUACUCGAGUGGCGAACGGGUGAGUAACACGUGAGUAACCUGCCCUUGACUUUGGGAUAACUUCAGGAAACUGGGGCUAAUACCGGAUAGGAGCUCCUGCUGCAUGGUGGGGGUUGGAAAGUUUCGGCGGGUGGGGAUGGACUCGCGGCUUAUCAGCUUGUUGGUGGGGUAGUGGCUUACCAAGGCUUUGACGGGUAGCCGGCCUGAGAGGGUGACCGGCCACAUUGGGACUGAGAUACGGCCCAGACUCCUACGGGAGGCAGCAGUGGGGAAUAUUGCACAAUGGGUGGAAGCCUGAUGCAGCAACGCCGUGUGCGGGAUGACGGCCUUCGGGUUGUAAACCGCUUUCGCUCAUGACGAAGCUUUGUGUGACGGUAGUGGGUAAAGAAGCACCGGCUAACUACGUG
rnacentral:rRNA from 1 species